AGUGAACGCUGGCGGUAGGCCUAACACAUGCAAGUCGAACGGCAGCACAGGAGAGCUUGCUCUCUGGGUGGCGAGUGGCGGACGGGUGAGGAAUACAUCGGAAUCUACUCUGUCGUGGGGGAUAACGUAGGGAAACUUACGCUAAUACCGCAUACGACCUACGGGUGAAAGCAGGGGACCUUCGGGCCUUGCGCGAUUGAAUGAGCCGAUGUCGGAUUAGCUAGUUGGCGGGGUAAAGGCCCACCAAGGCGACGAUCCGUAGCUGGUCUGAGAGGAUGAUCAGCCACACUGGAACUGAGACACGGUCCAGACUCCUACGGGAGGCAGCAGUGGGGAAUAUUGGACAAUGGGCGCAAGCCUGAUCCAGCCAUACCGCGUGGGUGAAGAAGGCCUUCGGGUUGUAAAGCCCUCUUGUUGGGAAAGAAAUCCAGCUGGCUAAUACCCGGUUGGGAUGACGGUACCCAAAGAAUAAGCACCGGCUAACUUCGUACCAGCAGCCGCCGUAA
rnacentral:rRNA from 1 species